UACGUAGGUGGCUAGCGUUGUCCGGAUUUACUGGGCGUAAAGAGCGCGCAGGCGGUCGUUCAAGUCGAGUGUGAAAGCCCCCGGCUCAACUGGGGAGGGUCACUUGAUACUGAUCGACUGGAAGGCAGGAGAGGGAAGCGGAAUUCCCGGUGUAGUGGUGAAAUGCGUAGAUAUCGGGAGGAACACCAGUGGCGAAGGCGGCUUCCUGGCCUGUUCUUGACGCUGAGGCGCGAAAGCUAGGGGAGCAAACGGG
rnacentral:rRNA from 1 species